rnacentral:lncRNA from 1 species
UUCUUGAUAGAGGAAUCAGAAACCUUCCCCUUCUUGGAAGCCCCUUUCGGACGCCCACGACCGCGAAUUAUGGGGGGAUCCUCCAUUGUCGCCUUUCCUGGCGUCACAGUCAAAGCCAUGUCUGUAUUACUACAAUGCAGAGUGACAAUAUCAACCUGUGUAUCUGACACUAUAGUAGUUUCCACCGGAUGUCGGGUAGUGUCAUUCAUCACCGGAACAAUCUCCAUACCAACAGACUUGUCCGCCCUGUUAUCACCAACCGAGU